GCUGUACGAAACAAAAGAAGUUUUGAAUUCUGAGAAACGCCCUCGAUCAAACAUAAUGUCAACUACAAUGUCCUGAGCUAUUCCCAAGGAAUUGUAUCUAUUUAUAGAUAUGACGUCAUGUUUCUGGGUGCAAUUGUCUGAAUACAAGUGUCAGGGAACAGGUGUCUGGGUACUUUUACCAUUAAACGCAAAGAAGAGGAUUACGUAUUCCCAGGAUGGACGUCUACACAUUUCUUCUGGUCUUAGUGGGCCUUGUUGGGAUGAUGAUCCUUCUUUACAAAUGUAUGGAUAACCGAGCCAAGGAGAGAGCAGUAGCUGCCUCACACAAGACUGACGUGGAUACUGUUGGGAAGGACUCCGAGGGGCACGUGGAACUUGCCUCCGCCACGGGACUGAGAAGUGAUAACGUGGGUGAUGCAUUGAAGACGAUGAAGCAAAUAGGGAACAUGAAGACAACGGGAAUGACAAGGGGGUCGGCGAACACUGUCGAGGCCACCGGAGUGGACAUCCGGAGAAGACAACAGCGUCCAGGGGAAGACAAAACCAAACCAAUGCCAAGAGCAACCACAACCACAUCUGUUGAGGUCACAGGUAUGACUGAUGGAAAAGCCGGUACAGUGAUCGCAGUGGGUGUCCGCCAGUGAUGACAGUGGGUGUCCGCCAGUGAUGACAGUGGGUGUCCGCCAGUGAAUACAGUGGGUGUCCGCCAGUGAUGACAGUGGGUGUCCGCCAGUGAAUACAGUGGGUGUCCGCCAGUGAUGACAGUGGGUGUCCGCCAGUGAAUACAGUGGGUGUCCGCCAGUGAUGACAGUGGGUGUUCGCCAGUGAUGACAGUGGGUGUCUAUAAGUGAUGACAGUUGGUGUCUAUAAGUGAUGACAGAGGGUGUCCGCCAGUACACACAAGUGAUCACAGUUAGUGUAAGCAAGUCAUGACAGUGGGUGUCCACCAGUAGAUGCAAGUGAUGACAGUGAGUGUCCGCCAGUAGAUACAAGUGGUAACAGCAGGUGUCCGCCAGUAGAUGCAAGUGAUGACAGCGGGUGUCCGCGAGUAGAUGCAGGUGGUGACAGCAGGUGUGCGCCAGUUGAUGCAAGUGGUGACAGUGGGUAUCCGCCAGUAGUUGCAAGUGAUGACAGCAGGUAUCCCCCAGUAGAUGCAAGUGAUGACAGCAGGUGUCCGCCAGUAGAUGCAAGUGGUGACAGUGGGUGUCCGCCAGUAGGCGCAAGUGGUGACAGUGGAUGUCCGCCAGUAGAUGCAAGUGGUGACAGCAGGUGUCCGCCAGUAGAUGCUAGUGAUGACAGCAGGUGUCCGCCAGUAGAUGCAAGUGGUCACAGUGGGUGUCCGCCAGUAGUUGCAAGUGAUGACAGCAGGUAUCCCCCAGUAGAUGCAAGUGGUGACAGAGUGUUCGCCAGUAGAUGCAAGUGAUGACAGGGGGUAUCCCCCAGUAGAUGCAAGUGAUGACAGCAGGUGUCCGCCAGUAGAUGCAAGUGGUGACAGCAGAUGUCCGCCAGUAGAUGCAAGUGAUGACAGCAGGUGUCCGCCAGUAGGCGCAAGUGGUGACAGUAGGUGUCCGCCAGUAGAUGCAAGUGACGACAGUGGGUUUCCGCCAGUAGAUGCAAGUGAUGACAGCAGGUGUCCGCCAGUUGAUGCAAGUGGUGACAGUGAGUGUCCGCCAGUAGAUGCAAGUGGUGACAGCGGGUGUCCGCCAGUAGAUGCAAGUGAUGACAGCGGGUGUCCGCCAGUAGAUGCAAGUGAUGACAGCGGGUGUCCGCCAGUAGAUGCAAGUGGUGACAGCUGGUGCCCGCCAGUAGAUGCAAGUGGUGACAGUGGGUGUCCGCCAGUAGAUGCAAGUGGUGACAGUGGGUGUCCGCCAGUAGAUGCAAGUGAUGACAGUGGGUUUCCGCCAGUAGAUGCAAGUGGUGACAGUGAGUGUCCGCGAGUAGGUGCAAGUGAUGACAGCAGGUGUCCGCCAGUAGUUGCAAGUGAUGACAGCAGGUAUCCCCCAGUAGAUGCAAGUGAUGACAGCAGGUGUCCGCCAGUAGAUGCAAGUGGUGACAGCAGGUGUCGGCCAGUAGAUACAAGUCAUGACAGCAGGUGACCGCCAGUAGAUCCAAGUGGUGACAGCAGGUGUCCGCCAGUAGGUGCAAGUGAUGACAGUGAGUGUCCGCCAGUUGAUACAAGUGGUGACAGCAGGUGUCCGCCAGUAGGUGAAAGUGAUGACAGUGGGUGUCCGCCAGUAGAUGCAAGUGGUGACAGCAGGUUUCCGCCAGUAGAUGCAAGUGGUGACAGUGGGUGUCGGCCAGUUCAUACAAGUGGUGACAGCAGGUGUCCGCAAAUAGAUACAAGUGGUGACAGCAGGUGUCCGCAAAUAGAUACUAGUGAUGACAGCAGGUGUCCGCCAGUAGAUGCAAGUGAUGACAGUGGGUGUCCGCCAGUAGAUGCAAGUGAUGACAGCAGGUGUCCGCAAGUAGAUGCAAGUGGUGACAGUGGGUGUCCGCCAGUAGAUGCAAGUCAUGACAGUGAGUGUCCGCCAGUAGAUGCAAGUGAUGACAGCAGGUAUCCCUCAGUAGAUGCAAGUGAUGACAGCAGGUGUCUGCCAGUAGAUGCAAGUGAUGACAGUGGGUGUCCGCAAGUGAUAACAGUUGGUGUCUGCCAGUAGAUGCAAGUGGUGACAGCGGGUGUCCCCCAGUAGAUACUAGUGAUGACAGUUGGUCUCCGCCAGUAGGUGCAAGUGAAAACAGGGGGUGUCCGCCAGUAGAUGCAAGUGAUGACAGCAGGUGUCCGCAAGUAGAUGCAAGUGGUGACAGUGGGUGUCCGCCUGUAGAUGCAAGUCAUGACAGUGAGUGUCCGCCAGUAGAUGCAAGUGAUGACAGCAGGUAUCCCUCAGUAGAUGCAAGUGAUGACAGCAGGUGUCUGCCAGUAGAUGCAAGUGAUGACAGUGGGUGUCCGCAAGUGAUAACAGUUGGUGUCUGCCAGUAGAUGCAAGUGGUGACAGCGGGUGUCCCCCAGUAGAUACUAGUGAUGACAGUUGGUCUCCGCCAGUAGAUGCAAGUGAUGACAGUGGGUUUCCGCCAGUAGAUGCAAGUGGUGACAGCAGGUGUCCGCCAGUAGGUGCAAGUGAUGUCAGUGGGUGUCCGCCAGUAGAUGCAAGUGAUGACAGUGGGUUUCCGCCAGUAGAUGCAAGUCAUGACAGUGAGUGUCCGCGAGUAGGUGCAAGUGAUGACAGCAGGUGUCCGCCAGUAGUUGCAAGUGAUGACAGCAGGUAUCCCCCAGUAGAUGCAAGUGAUGACAGCAGGUGUCCGCCAGUAGAUGCAAGUGGUGACAGCAGAUGUCCGCCAGUAGGUGCAAGUGAUGACAGUGGGUGUCCGCCAGUUGAUACAAGUGGUGACAGCAGGUGUCCGCCAGUACGUGAAAGUGAUGACAGUGGGUGUCCGCCAGUAGAUGCAAGUGAUGACAGCAGGUAUCCCCCAGUAGAUGCAAGUGGUGACAGAGUGUUCGCCAGUAGAUGCAAGUGAUGACAGGGGGUAUCCCCCAGUAGAUGCAAGUGAUGACAGCAGGUGUCCGCCAGUAGAUGCAAGUGGUGACAGCAGAUGUCCGCCAGUAGAUGCAAGUGAUGACAGCAGGUGUCCGCCAGUAGGCGCAAGUGGUGACAGUGGGUGUCCGCCAGUAGAUGCAAGUGACGACAGUGGGUUUCCGCCAGUAGAUGCAAGUGAUGACAGCAGGUGUCCGCCAGUUGAUGCAAGUGGUGACAGUGAGUGUCCGCCAGUAGAUGCAAGUGGUGACAGCGGGUGUCCGCCAGUAGAUGCAAGUGAUGACAGCGGGUGUCCGCCAGUAGAUGCAAGUGAUGACAGCGGGUGUCCGCCAGUAGAUGCAAGUGGUGACAGCUGGUGCCCGCCAGUAGAUGCAAGUGGUGACAGUGGGUGUCCGCCAGUAGAUGCAAGUGGUGACAGUGGGUGUCCGCCAGUAGAUGCAAGUGAUGACAGUGGGUUUCCGCCAGUAGAUGCAAGUGGUGACAGUGAGUGUCCGCGAGUAGGUGCAAGUGAUGACAGCAGGUGUCCGCCAGUAGUUGCAAGUGAUGACAGCAGGUAUCCCCCAGUAGAUGCAAGUGAUGACAGCAGGUGUCCGCCAGUAGAUGCAAGUGGUGACAGCAGGUGUCGGCCAGUAGAUACAAGUCAUGACAGCAGGUGACCGCCAGUAGAUCCAAGUGGUGACAGCAGGUGUCCGCCAGUAGGUGCAAGUGAUGACAGUGGGUGUCCGCCAGUUGAUACAAGUGGUGACAGCAGGUGUCCGCCAGUAGGUGAAAGUGAUGACAGUGGGUGUCCGCCAGUAGAUGCAAGUGGUGACAGCAGGUUUCCGCCAGUAGAUGCAAGUGGUGACAGUGGGUGUCGGCCAGUUCAUACAAGUGGUGACAGCAGGUGUCCGCAAAUAGAUACAAGUGGUGACAGCAGGUGUCCGCAAAUAGAUACUAGUGAUGACAGCAGGUGUCCGCCAGUAGAUGCAAGUGAUGACAGUGGGUGUCCGCCAGUAGAUGCAAGUGAUGACAGCAGGUGUCCGCAAGUAGAUGCAAGUGGUGACAGUGGGUGUCCGCCAGUAGAUGCAAGUCAUGACAGUGAGUGUCCGCCAGUAGAUGCAAGUGAUGACAGCAGGUAUCCCUCAGUAGAUGCAAGUGAUGACAGCAGGUGUCUGCCAGUAGAUGCAAGUGAUGACAGUGGGUGUCCGCAAGUGAUAACAGUUGGUGUCUGCCAUUAGAUGCAAGUGGUGACAGCGGGUGUCACCCAGUAGAUACUAGUGAUGACAGUUGGUCUCCGCCAGUAGGUGCAAGUGAAAACAGGGGGUGUCCGCCAGUAGAUGCAAGUGAUGACAGCAGGUGUCCGCAAGUAGAUGCAAGUGGUGACAGUGGGUGUCCGCCUGUAGAUGCAAGUGAUGACAGUGAGUGUCCGCCAGUAGAUGCAAGUGAUGACAGCAGGUAUCCCUCAGUAGAUGCAAGUGAUGACAGCAGGUGUCUGCCAGUAGAUGCAAGUGAUGACAGUGGGUGUCCGCAAGUGAUAACAGUUGGUGUCUGCCAGUAGAUGCAAGUGGUGACAGCGGGUGUCCCCCAGUAGAUACUAGUGAUGACAGUUGGUCUCCGCCAGUAGAUGCAAGUGAUGACAGUGGGUUUCCGCCAGUAGAUGCAAGUGGUGACAGCAGGUGUCCGCCAGUAGGUGCAAGUGAUGUCAGUGGGUGUCCGCCAGUAGAUGCAAGUGAUGACAGUGGGUUUCCGCCAGUAGAUGCAAGUCAUGACAGUGAGUGUCCGCGAGUAGGUGCAAGUGAUGACAGCAGGUGUCCGCCAGUAGUUGCAUGUGAUGACAGCAGGUAUCCCCCAGUAGAUGCAAGUGAUGACAGCAGGUGUCCGCCAGUAGAUGCAAGUGGUGACAGCAGAUGUCCGCCAGUAGAUGCAAGUGAUGACAGUAGGUGUCCGCCAGUAGAUGCAAGUGAUGACAGCAGCUGUCCGCCAGUUGAUGCAAGUGAUGACAGUGAGUGUCCGCCAGUAGGUGCAAGUGGUGACAGCAGGUGUCCCCCCAGUAAUGCAAGUGGUGACAGCAGGUGUCGGCCAGUAGAUACAAGUCAUGACAGCAGGUGACCGCCAGUAGAUGCAAGUGGUGACAGCAGGUAUCCCCCAGUAGAUGCAAGUGAUGACAGCAGGUGUCCGCCAGUAGAUGCAAGUGGUGACAGUGGGUGUCCGCCAGUAGAUGCAAGUGAUGACAGUGGGUUUCCGCCAGUAGAUGCAAGUGGUGACAGUGAGUGUCCGCGAGUAGGUGCAAGUGAUGACAGCAGGUGUCCGCCAGUAGUUGCAAGUGAUGACAGCAGGUAUCCCCCAGUAGAUGCAAGUGAUGACAGCAGGUGUCCGCCAGUAGAUGCAAGUGGUGACAGCAGGUGUCGGCCAGUAGAUACAAGUCAUGACAGCAGGUGACCGCCAGUAGAUCCAAGUGGUGACAGCAGGUGUCCGCCAGUAGGUGCAAGUGAUGACAGUGGGUGUCCGCCAGUUGAUACAAGUGGUGACAGCAGGUGUCCGCCAGUAGGUGAAAGUGAUGACAGUGGGUGUCCGCCAGUAGAUGCAAGUGGUGACAGCAGGUUUCCGCCAGUAGAUGCAAGUGGUGACAGUGGGUGUCGGCCAGUUCAUACAAGUGGUGACAGCAGGUGUCCGCAAAUAGAUACAAGUGGUGACAGCAGGUGUCCGCAAAUAGAUACUAGUGAUGACAGCAGGUGUCCGCCAGUAGAUGCAAGUGAUGACAGUGGGUGUCCGCCAGUAGAUGCAAGUGAUGACAGCAGGUGUCCGCAAGUAGAUGCAAGUGGUGACAGUGGGUGUCCGCCAGUAGAUGCAAGUCAUGACAGUGAGUGUCCGCCAGUAGAUGCAAGUGAUGACAGCAGGUAUCCCUCAGUAGAUGCAAGUGAUGACAGCAGGUGUCUGCCAGUAGAUGCAAGUGAUGACAGUGGGUGUCCGCAAGUGAUAACAGUUGGUGUCUGCCAGUAGAUGCAAGUGGUGACAGCGGGUGUCCCCCAGUAGAUACUAGUGAUGACAGUUUGUCUCCGCCAGUAGGUGCAAGUGAAAACAGGGGGUGUCCGCCAGUAGAUGCAAGUGAUGACAGCAGGUGUCCGCAAGUAGAUGCAAGUGGUGACAGUGGGUGUCCGCCUGUAGAUGCAAGUCAUGACAGUGAGUGUCCGCCAGUAGAUGCAAGUGAUGACAGCAGGUAUCCCUCAGUAGAUGCAAGUGAUGACAGCAGGUGUCUGCCAGUAGAUGCAAGUGAUGACAGUGGGUGUCCGCAAGUGAUAACAGUUGGUGUCUGCCAGUAGAUGCAAGUGGUGACAGCGGGUGUCCCCCAGUAGAUACUAGUGAUGACAGUUGGUCUCCGCCAGUAGAUGCAAGUGAUGACAGUGGGUUUCCGCCAGUAGAUGCAAGUGGUGACAGCAGGUGUCCGCCAGUAGGUGCAAGUGAUGUCAGUGGGUGUCCGCCAGUAGAUGCAAGUGAUGACAGUGGGUUUCCGCCAGUAGAUGCAAGUCAUGACAGUGAGUGUCCGCGAGUAGGUGCAAGUGAUGACAGCAGGUGUCCGCCAGUAGUUGCAAGUGAUGACAGCAGGUAUCCCCCAGUAGAUGCAAGUGAUGACAGCAGGUGUCCGCCAGUAGAUGCAAGUGGUGACAGCAGAUGUCCGCCAGUAGAUGCAAGUGAUGACAGUAGGUGUCCGCCAGUAGAUGCAAGUGAUGACAGCAGCUGUCCGCCAGUUGAUGCAAGUGAUGACAGUGAGUGUCCGCCAGUAGGUGCAAGUGGUGACAGCCGGUGUCCCCCCAGUAAUGCAAGUGGUGACAGCAGGUGUCGGCCAGUAGAUACAAGUCAUGACAGCAGGUGACCGCCAGUAGAUGCAAGUGGUGACAGCAGGUGUCCGCCAGUAGAUGCAAGUGGUGACAGCAGGU